rnacentral:rRNA from 1 species
AUGGAUCCUCAUCCGCUUGCUAAUAUUUUUAAGAGAUCCAAUUAUGAUGAACCAAUUGCUAGUGAGUUUUCUGCACUAGAUUAUCUUUAUGAAGCUUUGUUCAAAAUUUGUGAAUCUGAAAAUUAUGAUGAAGAAAUUUAUGAAGAGAUUCAUGAUAACUCCUUGAAUAAAAAGCAUGAUUGCAAUGAUUUUCCUAUAAAUUCUAUUGAUGUCAAUUGUGCUAAUAAUAUGCAAAACCCUAAGCUUGGGGAUGCUAGUUUUGCUAUGUCUACUACUUGUUUCAAUGAUCAUGAUUGGGGUGAUUCUUCUUAUAAACUUGAAAAUUUAUUUAAGCCCCAUGAUGAAUAUGAGAUUGAUAAUAGUGUUUGCAAUAAUAUUGAAAGUGGGUUUGGAAGAGUGUCAACUUUAGAUCCCACUUAUUUGGAGUAUGUUCAAUCUUAUGAUAUUUUUGAUAAAGGUUGGUUCGGAAAGGUCGUGACUUUAGUUAAUGUUAAUCCCACUAUCUUGGAAGAGUGUCAACUUUGCAUGCAUGUGGAUCAUGUUGAGAAUAUUUUUUGUGAUAGCUAUUUUUUGAAUUUUCCUAUGAUCCUACAUGUAAUUAUUAUGAAAGAGGAAAAUAUGGUCGUAGAAAUUUUUAUCUUAUUAAAUUACCUCUCGUCAUGUUGA